UACGUAGGGUGCAAGCGUUGUCCGGAAUUAUUGGGCGUAAAGGGCUCGUAGGCGGUCUGUUGCGUCAGGAGUGAAAACUCGGAGCUUAACCUCCGAGCCUGCUUCCGAUGACGGGCAGACUAGAGGUAUGCAGGGGGAGAACGGAAUUCCUGGUGUAGCGGUGAAAUGCGCAGAUAUCAGGAGGAACACCGGUGGCGAAGGCGGUUCUCUGGGCAUUACCUGACGCUGAGGAGCGAAAGUGUGGGGAGCGAACAGG
rnacentral:rRNA from 1 species